rnacentral:tRNA from 1 species
GGAGAGCUGUCCGAGUGGUCGAAGGAGCACGAUUGGAAAUCGUGUAGGCGGUCAACUCCGUCUCAAGGGUUCGAAUCCCUUGCUCUCCGCCACUGAUACUUA